rnacentral:rRNA from 1 species
AGUGAACGCUGGCGGUAGGCCUAACACAUGCAAGUCGAACGGCAGCACAGUAAGCGCUUUCUCUUACGGGUGGCGAGUGGCGGACGGGUGAGGAAUACAUCGGAAUCUACUUUUUCGUGGGGGAUAACGUAGGGAAACUUACGCUAAUACCGCAUACGACCUACGGGUGAAAGCAGGGGAUCUUCGGACCUUGCGCGUUUGAAUGAGCCGAUGUCGGAUUAGCUAGUUGGCGGGGUAACGGCCCACCAAGGCGACGAUCCGUAGCUGGUCUGAGAGGAUGAUCAGCCACACUGGAACUGAGACACGGUCCAGACUCCUACGGGAGGCAGCAGUGGGGAAUAUUGGGCAAUGGGCGAAAGCCUGACGCAGCCAUGCCGCGUGAGUGAUGAAGGUCUUCGGGUCGUAAAGCUCUUUUGUUGGGAAAGAAAAGAAGUAUGUGAAUAUCCGCCUGUUCUGACGGUACCCAAAGAAUAAGCAACGGCUAACUUCGUG